GCGAAAGGCAGAAGCUGGGAGUCUGCAGUCUCACAAAAUGCCCAGGUGGCGGGAGUUGGCUUCACACGCCCCGGCCCGGGAGUGGGAGGAGUGGACCCCGCGGAGGGGCUGGCGCCUGUGCGCAGCCUAGCCUGCAGUCACGUGGGCUGGAGGCCGCGGGGCUCCUGAGGCCAGGGCAGUUGGAGAGAGCUCUGCCGAGCGCCUUGUGCUUUUAGGGUCACGAAGGCUAGACAACCGGCCUAUUCCAGGACAGGCUUCUCUAGGAAUGUGGGGGCUUAGUGGGUAAUCUCUCCCGUCCCUCACGGAGUCCCUGGAGCCUGGUAGGAAGCAGAAGUCUGAUCCUGAGAACAGGCCCUCCCGGUAGUGGAGUGUAUCACCACCUCCUUGAAAGGACCUCAGAUAGCAAUCGAGAGAAUCCCCAAGAAGGGAAGGAGAGGCCACAUGGAGAGCGAUACUUGAGGUUGGACCAAAUGAUGUUUUCUUGGGAGAAGCAGAACACGCCAAGCCGGCCUCCACGCAUGGUGGUGUCUAUGGUGACCCCGGAGUCGGCCACCAACUCGGAGCCUUCAUAAAAUCGCACUCUGCAGACGACACAGCCCAAGCCAGUCACCAAGAAACUCAAACCCAGGUCAAGGCUGGCUUCCCGCCCUGGUCAGGAGAUUGCAGUGGGUACUCCUUCCUCAGUGCGCUACAGGGGGAAGGCCUGGCAGUGAGGAGACCAAGGUCAACUGAGAUCCAGACACCACCUUCAUGGCGUUUCUAAUCCAGCAGGGAAGAGCCGUAUUCCCCACAGCUGUCCGAAGAGUGCCUCAGAAGUCUGCCUUUUCUCGGAGCAGGAGUGACAGAGGCAGCAUCUCAGCCUUACACAAAUACCUCAAUUCCAUAGACGAACUAACUGCCCUAUGGGAGAACAGGACUUAAAAGGAGGGUGAAAGGCUCAAAGGGGAGAUGAGUGGCUGAGAACUGUGGCUACCUUAAGCUGGAU